AUUGAACGCUGGCGGCAGGCCUAACACAUGCAAGUCGAACGAGCGGCGGACGGGGGUGAAAUGUAUGGGGUCUCCCCGACAUAGGGGGAGAACUACUGGAAACGGUAGCUAAUACCGCAUAGUAUCGGAUAACCCAUAUGGCAUGAGCUAGUGGGUGAGGUAAUGGCUCACAUAGGUGGCGAUCCCUCGCUGGUCUGAGAGGAUGAUCAGCAACACUGGGAAGAGGACACGGCCCAACUGCCUACGGAGUCAGCGGGGGGAAUUAUGGCACAAGGGGCGCAAGCCUGAUGCAGCCAGGCCGCGGGUAGGAAGAAGGCCCUAGGGUUGUAAAGUAUGUUCAGUCGGGGGGCGUUACCGACAGAAGAAGCACCGGCUAACUCCGUGCCAGCAGCCGCGGUAAUUC
rnacentral:rRNA from 1 species